rnacentral:rRNA from 2 species
ACCGAUAGUGAACCAGUACCGUGAGGGAAAGGCGAAAAGAACCCCGGCGAGGGGAGUGAAAAAGAACCUGAAACCGUGUACGUACAAGCAGUGGGAGCACCUUCGGGUGUGACUGCGUACCUUUUGUAUAAUGGGUCAGCGACUUAUAUUCUGUAGCAAGGUUAACCGUAUAGGGGAGCCGCAGGGAAACCGAGUCUUAACUGGGCGUUAAGUUGCAGGGUAUAGACCCGAAACCCGGUGAUCUAGCCAUGGGCAGGUUGAAGGUUGGGUAACACUAACUGGAGGACCGAACCGACUAAUGUUGAAAAAUUAGCGGAUGACUUGUGGCUGGGGGUGAAAGGCCAAUCAAACCGGGAGAUAGCUGGUUCUCCCCGAAAGCU